rnacentral:rRNA from 1 species
AUUGAACGCUGGCGGCAUGCCUUACACAUGCAAGUCGAACGGUAACGCGGGGCAACCUGGCGACGAGUGGCGAACGGGUGAGUAAUACAUCGGAACGUGCCCAGUAGUGGGGGAUAGCCCGGCGAAAGCCGGAUUAAUACCGCAUACGACCUACGGGUGAAAGCGGGGGAUCGCAAGACCUCGCGCUAUUGGAGCGGCCGAUGUCAGAUUAGCUAGUUGGUGGGGUAAAAGCCUACCAAGGCGACGAUCUGUAGCUGGUCUGAGAGGACGACCAGCCACACUGGGACUGAGACACGGCCCAGACUCCUACGGGAGGCAGCAGUGGGGAAUUUUGGACAAUGGGGGCAACCCUGAUCCAGCCAUGCCGCGUGCGGGAAGAAGGCCUUCGGGUUGUAAACCGCUUUUGUCGGGGAAGAAACGGUCUGCGCUAAUACCGCGGACUAAUGACGGUACCCGAAGAAUAAGCACCGGCUAACUACGUGCCAGCAGCCGCAGUAACAC